CUUGCUCCUGAUCUCCCGUGACACACGAUGCAAGGCUGGGCAGGACUGGCUGCCCUCCGGCAAGCAAUUAUUGUCACGUCCGUAUCACUCCAUCUCCGCCUGACAACUGUCGCCUGGGCGUCGCCCUGGAAACCAGACGGCCACGACUGAUCGAUGGCGAGAGAGACAAUGACGGAGAGCUUAAGUCGACUGUUACAACACACACUUCACCAGAUCUCAUAGGAGCCAGUUUGGGGAGCGGUGGAAAGACCUUGACUGAGUAGCGCAUCAAGAAUUCUUGGGAGAAACAUUCAUCCAAAAUUAUUACUGGAACUUCCAAAGGAAGCCAAGCCCCAAACUCGCGAGGAGGCCCCUCGCUCAGGGUUCAACCAGGACUCGGCAACGCCAAGGCGCUUUGGCCACACCGCAGCAGCGGCAGCAGCAAUCAACGGCAGCAGAUGGCACACGCCAGAGUGGGCGGUUGUGGUGGACUGGGAGGGUUCUUGCAAGUGAAGGUCGUCUGUUGAAUCGACGGAUAUCAGCGCUGGCGUGACGUGGGUCUGGUGGUCUGUGCGAGGUAUUGGUGGACAUCGAGCGACUUGGCGCUACAGCUGCCGGUCACUGACAUCUUCGCCGCGCAAAGAUCGGGAUCGGCGGCAGUGUUUGUCAGAUCUUGACGCGGCCACGAGCAUUGCCCGGGCUGAGAGGAGAGACGAGAGAGGCCUGUUCCUACACAUGCGAGCACAGACGUAAUAAACGGGACGACCCAAGCCUCUGCCGCAAUGCGGAAAAUGGGCUUACACGGAGAAUGCGAAAUACGUCCCAGCGAAGGCGCACGGUGGGUCGGGUGGCACAUGGCAUGGGAGCAGUGCCUUUUUAUGCCACCUCAGCCUUCCUUUCCUCCCUUCCUCGGGGGUGACCGGCUGUGACACGGCCAUCAUCACCGGCGCCCUCUCAGCUCGGCGGGACCUUUCAUCAAAUAUCCCGGAUAUCUCGGGUUACUCUGCCACUCUUUUGCAAUGCAAACUAUAAACAACUUUUGUUGUUAUUUUACCAGGUAAGGCCCUACUGAGCUAUGUAGCUAUUUUUCAAAAGCAACCUGGCUAUCACAAGUGAUAGCUCAACGAAGCGGCUCAUUAUAAUGUGGACAUUUACAUCGGCCAAAUUACUCUAAACGCCUGUUUCUAAAUGUGGACGGGAAAACCCGGAGGACUUGGAGAAAAAUCCAUGCGACCACGAGGCAGAACAUGCAAACUCCAAAUAUACAGCAGCAGGCGUCAAGAUCGGGAUCGAACCCACGAUCUCCUGUAUACCAGGCGAAGAAGUUGAUUUAUUGCCACCGCUGCCUGCCUUCCACUCUUCAUAAACACGCACGCACUCUUACAACCAACUCCGCGACAUUGCCCUAAAUUCAUGAGCGGCAGCAGCCACGGUCAAUGCACUGGUGGAUGGAAGCCUGCCCCAAGCUGUUGCCACCUCUCAUGGUCGGGCGAUGUAGCGAUCCAUCUCGCUCUUGUAAAUGGGGUUGAUUUCAUCGCUGCAUCUCUGCACCGUCCCUCCGUUGGCUCCCACUCAAAUGUCGGUCGUCAUUACAGUCAUCUUCCUCUAGGACGCCACACUUGAAAAAAAGCAAAUUCAGCAAUAACUACAUUGGCACAAUUAAAUUAUAUACAAAGUAGGUUUUUUAUAUUUUUUGUUACUAACAGGCAUUAGAUAACGUGCCCACAGUCGACGGACGGUCAACUAAUUUACGCAACAUUUUCCACGUGCAACUUAAGUAAUGGACAUAUUGCAAUACAGCUAGUACUCUGUGUGGCAAUUAUUUAUUAGAGUGUUAUGGCUGGCUUGCAGUUGACAUGCUGACAUUGGGCCGGCGUUGGUGAAACGUUGGCCAAGUGCGUUCACCAAAAAAAAAAUUUGGCUCGUUGUCGGCAUGCGGUCGGUGCUGGCCCAGGGAUCGCAGCUGACGUCACCAUAACAGGUGUCAAUUGAGAGCCCCCCUUACCAGAUGUCGUUAUGGUGCAAGUGCAGGAGGUAAUGCACUCCCUUUAAUUAAUAAUCAACCCCAUUGCUUUAUACGCCCGUCUCGGCGAAGCUUGAAAACAUGUACCCGGUAAAUUUAGCCUCGGCAUCUGUGGUCCCCGUGGAAUCGGUAAUAGCUGGGAGAAAUCAGAAGAAGAAAACAAGGCAACUUAGCCAAUCCACCUGUGCAUCAUCCGUAUGACAUCGCCUCAAUCGUUUAGUUGGCGGAGUCAAAUUAACGACGUCCAUUUCACCUACAUGACGGCAUUGCGGUUCAGGUAACAUUACAUUUAAUAGGUGGGGCAGCAAGGACUCUACCUUCUCCCACCAAGAACAGCACGAAUUCUCUCUCUCCCCGUGCCCUCUCGUGGCGAGCAGACCCCUUCCCAACAGCGUGCUUCUCCAGAACACGUUGCCAUACACGCAGGAAGGGAAUACUGCAGUUGCCGGGAGGGACAUGCUCAUGCAUUCAUGAUGAAACGUGCGCACGCACUUGUUAAGGCAGUGCCGGAUCCUGGAUAGUGUUCAUAUGAUGAUGUUAUUAUACUUGGUUACCCAGAAAAGUCUCACUGAAUCUCAUGACCCUUUUUCAGGAGGGUCCUACCAAGUGUUUUGUAGUCAGGGAUUGUGGGGGGGGGGGGCGGACAAUCAUUGCUCUGUAAAUAUUCCAAUAGCGCAGUGGUUCUUAACCUUUACUGCAGCCUUGCACCCUUUUGAGUCGUAAUCCUUAAAACAUGUAUAAUGUUAAUAAAUGGUGUUUGAUAAAACAAAGUAGUUGUACUUACGUGCCCGUGCUUAAUUUGUGUUUUCGAUAACACUGGUCAACAAAAAAAAAAUUCUGGCCUGGACUUUUGCAGCUGUUUUAGACUCAUUUCAGGGUGCUGAUUCCAAAUCUGAUCUCAGAUUUGCUCUAUCAUCUCAUUUUAUGCUAUCGGCAUACCUCAUUUUCAUUGAUUUUACCCGAAAUUAACUCUGUCACUUAUGAUUGCAAGUUGUUGCGAGUCAGUGACUGCUUUAGUGUUAAAAUAUGGUGCUGUAUUUUUAGGAUAGUGUUUAUAAUAUUUUAUGUAGAUAUCUACAUUUAUUUAAUAUUUUUCUUCUGCAGUCUUUAUUGAAAAUGCAAUAUUUGAUAUCUAAAAAACCUGAUGUGAUAGACAAAAACUGAUGCCAAAUUUGGAAUCAUCACCCCAAAAUUACAUUAAAACCGUUGGAAUACCUUGUGCCAGAAAAAGUGUGUUGACCAGUGUUAUUUACCUUCAAAAAAAAAAUCUGUCCGCGUCUCGCACCCGCAGCAAAAGGGCAUCUCGCACCCCCAGGGAAUGCGUGCACCCCGGGUUAAGAAGAGCCACUGCAGUCGAGUAAUGUGGGUCACUUUUUUUUUAAAUCUCCAAACGCCACUAAGUACUUGUGUGUGUGAACCACAAUUGCACAAGACGGGCGUUGGUUGUAGGCCACCGAGAGCUUUACGGUGUCGACGGGAAGGCAGUUCAGCCCAAAUCCACGAUUGUUACAGGAAUUAAGCUCCCAGCAUUUACGGCUCCUGCCUUCGCUAAGCCACAUUGGCCGCCGUGGUCAACUUAUGGCCCCACGAGCAGCGAGGAUGUGGACAGACGACGGUUGUGUCUUUGUACUGUUGUUGUAACGUUCUUGCAAACCCCUACUGACGACAUCUGUGAAAAAAAGCUUUAUAGCGCAUCGGAUUCCUCCAGUUUAAAUACACAUUCUGAUGAGGGCCUCAUCCAGCAGUGGAUUUAUGAAUGGGUUGUACAUUUGCGCGUACAGACAUGGCUUGCAAGGCAAGAACGACGACCUGUGCAUGGACGUAUACGACGGUAUAAAUGCAGGGUAAAAUAUGAUGCAAAUAUCACCAUUUAAACUAUGUUUAAUAUCGUCUUUUGCAUUUUCGAUACGAUUAUUUACGUUGUGUAUGAAUCUUUAUUUUCUGUAUGAGUUGGUGAUGUAAAGAAAAAUGUAUUGAUAGUUAUGUAAUGCUGAUAUGCUUUAAGUGCGUAGGCCCAGGCUGCUGCUGUGUAUGUGUACAAUAUAUUGUUUGGUCUCGAGUUCAAUCAUAACAAAUGACGAAGCCUGUAUGUGAAUUAAAUAUCUUUCACAUCAGAAUGUAUG